GCUCAACUUCAGUUACUUGUACCUGCUCUAUGUAAUAUCUUCUUAUGGUUCACUGAAGUCCUAAAUUAUUGGGUUUUUUCCUUUUUUAUUUUUUUCUUAUAUAUAUUCACUUUUCAAUGAGAUUGAGAGUAGAUUUUUAUUGCAGGGUUUGGAAGAACUGUGGAAUAUGAUCCAUGAAGAACCCUCAAACAGAAAAAAGUGGAUUAGGGCAGUGGACGAAUCCCUGAAGGAGAUUGAAAGGAGUCGAGCUGUUAAAAAUAUAAACAGAGUACUGCUGGGUAAUGAGAGGGCAACUGCCAAGCUGCUCUUUAAUGUAAUGAAAUCAGAGCUUGAGAAAGACAAAUUGCAUCAACUGAAAUGGCAAGAGAGAGUCAAGGUCUGGAAGCUCAUCCAAAAGAACUGCAUAGUUCAGAGUUUCAGAUCUUUUUUCCAUCCUGCAGAGAA
rnacentral:lncRNA from 1 species